GGUUCCAGCACCAGCGCCAUACAGCGCCAUCGCUAUCCUCUCGUGCCGAGCUGUUGCCGGCACGAUCUCUGCUGGAAUAAAAUCACUUCUUGAAUAUCACGCAACAUGAAGGUUGUCCUGCCUGCUUCCUUCAGUUCCUUGGCCAAUGUAUGAGGGUACAUUUGAUUUGGUGUGCUCUAUGGACGUCAACGUCAAAGUUCGUUGCAAGACGUGCAAGAAAACUUGUUCAUGCAGCAAGACAUCUACAGCAACUUGAAGAAGCACCUGGAAAGGAAGCAUCCUGGUCUGCACCGUGUUGCACAUCAGAAGCGAAAAGCUGCGGAUAGUGAAAGGCAACAGAACAGAAGGAAUUGGUGUAACUGGUAGCCACGUCGUCUUCAGUAUCUCAGAGACAAAUAGACCGGGCUAUUUUAAAUUUUGUUGUGGGGAGCAUGCAGUGCUUUUCCGUUGUGGAGAUCGAGCAGUUUAGACGCAUGAUUGAGGUACUCCAGCCUGCAAGAACAGUAAUCGGGCGAAAAGCUCUUGUUGCCCUGAUCAACAGUGCUUACGACAACAUGAAGCAAUCACUUGUUGAGAGGUUAGGGAAGGCAUCUGCCGUCUGCUGCCCAGCCAACUGCUGGACUGCUUCGAACAGGAGCUUCAUCCGUGCCACCGCACACUGGAUAGACGAAAGCUCGUUGGAGAGAAGAUCAGCGGUGAUAGCGUGCCGCAAAAUGUAAACUUCGAACACCAGCUGCUGCUCAAAUGUAAUAUAUAUAAAUAGCAUAACUUCAAUGUACGCAAUAAAGCCUGUUGAUCUCAUA